GACGAACGCUGGCGGCGUGCUUAACACAUGCAAGUCGAACGGAAAGGCCCUGCUUUUGUGGGUUUCUCGAGUGGCGAACGGGUGAGUAACACGUGAGUAACCUGCCCUUGACUUUGUGAUAACUUCAGGAAACUGGGGCUAAUACCUGAUAGGAGCUCCUGCUGCUUGGUGGGGGUUGGAAAGUUUCGGCGGUUGGGGAUGGACUCGCGGCUUAUCAGCUUGUUGGUUGGGUAGUGGCUUACCAAGGCUUUGACGGGUAGCCGGCAUGAGAGGGUGACCGGCCACAUUGGGACUGAGAUACGGCCCAGACUGCAACGGGAGGCAGCAGUGGGGAAUAUUGCACAAUGGGCGGAAGCAUGAUGAAGCAACGCCGCGUGCGGGAUGACGGCCUUCGGGUUGUAAACCGAUUUAGAAUGUGACGAAGAGUGAGUGACGGUAAUGGGUAAAGAAGCACCGGCUAACUACGUG
rnacentral:rRNA from 1 species